rnacentral:rRNA from 1 species
UACAGGGGGGGCAAGCGUUGUUCGGAAUUACUGGGCGUAAAGGGUUCGUAGGUGGCUUACUAAGUCAAACGUGAAAUCCCUCAGCUUAACUGGGGAACUGCGUCUGAUACUGGAAAGCUUGAGUGCAGGAGAGGAACGCGGAAUUCCAGGUGUAGCGGUGAAAUGCGUAGAUAUCCGGAGGAACACCGGUGGCGAAGGCGGCUUCCUGGACCGACACUGACGCUGAGGCGCGAAAGCUAGGGGAGCAAACGGG